GAACCGUCCAAACGUUAUUCGGAAUCAUUGGGCUUAAAGGGGUGCGUAGGCGGCUCUGCAAGUUGGGGUGUGAAAUACCUCGGCUCAACCGAGGAACUGCGCUCAAAACUGCAAAGCUUGAGGGAGAUAGAGGUGAGUGGAACUAUGGGUGGAGCGGUGAAAUGCGUUGAUAUCCGUAGGAACACCGGUGGCGAAAGCGGCUCACUGGGUCUCUUCUGACGCUGAGGUACGAAAGCCAGGGGAGCGAACGGGAUUAGAUACCCCGGUAGUCCUGGCUGUAAACGAUGAGCACUAGAUCGUAGGGGUUCCAUGCCCUUACGGUCGAACUGAAAAGGUUAAGUGCUCCGCCUGGGGAGUAUGUCCGCAAAGGAUG
rnacentral:rRNA from 1 species